rnacentral:lncRNA from 1 species
CUUUUAAAAAAAAUACUAAAAAACCUCUAAAAAAGGGCUCCGACCCUCGGAGCUCCGGCCUCGUGGCCGUCCUGGCUCGUCCCAGAGUCGGGCAUGCAUGGUCUCCACGCGCUUAACGAGCCGCCACCAGAGCCACCGUAUACGGUGGUUAGGGUUUCAAAAACCCUCUAUUUUCUUUUCUGAUUCUCAGGUAUCAACCUUCUCCAUCUGUUUUUAGUUUCUAUUUUUUAGAUCUGCGUGUGUGCAUGUUAGUAAAUGACCAGAUUAGAUUAAAAAAGAAAAAAAACGAUUCGAUUACCUUUGAAAAACGAGAUUCGCUUUUUAUUUCUCUGUUUCAAAAGGAUUACAAUGGUUCGUGUUAUUCUAUUAGGUAAAUCCCUAUACCUUUUUUUUUGUUUCUCUUUGCUUCUAAAAACUCUGUUUUUUGAUUCCCUGCUAUUCUUCUCUCUGCUUUUGUGUGGGUGUAUUUCUGCUAUCAGGUCUUUCUCCCUACCUGUCUUUUUACAGAUUAAAAAGAAGGCUUUAUAGCCUCGACUACUAUAAGUUUUGGAAAGAAAUCUCCGAUUUCUUUCCGUAUUUGCUUCGCAUGUCUGCUGUGAUUUUCUUUCCUUUUCUUGCAGGUACUUGCGAAAAAUCCGGCAAUGGCAAAGACUUGACGGUGGUCCACUGGUAGUGUUGAUCUCGGCGUGACUUGGGGCCUGGAAUCAUGGCCUUGACGGGGUAGUAGGAGCUGAAGAGUCAUGAGGCUUGGCUUCUGGAACCUUCUGUUUGCGGCGCGAUGAGAAAGAGGGCAGAAACCCUAGGGUUUCCUACUUGGGUCUGCAGAUGUUUGGGCCAAUUGGGCCUCUGGAAAUUUUGGGUGUUUUGGGCUACCAGUCUGUAAUGGGUCCAUUGCAACUGUUUGGGACUUAGUUUAGGCUGGGCUAGUCUAGUAAAAUUUGGCUGUUGGGUCUGUGUAUUUAGGCUUUGUAAAAAAAACUUUUAUGAACUGUUUAAAUUAAAUAAAUAAAUAUUUAUUAAUUUUUCAGUUUUAAUAAUCCGGGCAAAUUUUGGUGAUUACAACUAUGAUAUGAUUUCUAUUACUUUGAU